AACGCUGGCGGCGUGCCUAACACAUGCAAGUCGAACGCGAGAGGGGCUUCGGCCCUGAUUGAGUGGCAAACGGGUGAGUAACGCGUGGGUGACCUACCUUCGAGUGGGGGAUAACGUUUCGAAAGGAACGCUAAUACCGCAUGACAUCCUGCCUUUGGACAGGCGGAGAUCAAAGCCGGGGAUCGCAAGACCUGGCGCUUGGAGAGGGGCCCGCGUCCGAUUAGCUAGUUGGUGGGGUAACGGCUCACCAAGGCUUCGAUCGGUAGCCGGCCUGAGAGGGCGGACGGCCACACUGGGACUGAGACACGGCCCAGACUCCUACGGGAGGCAGCAGUGGGGAAUUGUUCGCAAUGGGCGCAAGCCUGACGACGCAACGCCGCGUGGAGGAUGAAGGUCUUCGGAUUGUAAACUCCUGUUGAUCGGGACGAACAUCCCUUGGGAUAACACCCUGAGGGACUGACGGUACCGGUUGAGGAAGC
rnacentral:rRNA from 1 species